rnacentral:rRNA from 1 species
UGACCAGACUCCUACGGGAGGCAGCAGUGGGGGAUAUUGCACAAUGGGGGGAACCCUGAUGCAGCGACGCCGCGUGGGUGAAGGAGUGAUUCGGCAUGUAAAGCCCUAUCGGCAGGGAAGAAGCAAGACGGUACCUGACUAAGAAGCCCCGGCUAACUAAGGGCCAGCAGCCGCGGGAAUACGUAGGGGGCGAGCGUUAUCCGGAUUCACUGGGUGUAAAGGGAGCGUAGGCGGCCAUGCAAGCCAGGGGUGAAAGCCCGGGGCCCAACCCCGGGACUGCUCUGGAAACUGCGGCGCUGGAGUACGGGAGGGGCAGGCGGAGUUCCUGGUGUAGCGGUGAAAUGCGUAGAUAUCAGGAGGAACACCGGCGGCGAAGGCGGCCUGCUGGACCGUGACUGACGUUGAGGCUCGAGAGCGUGGGGAGCAAACAGGAUUAGAUACCCGAGUA